UGCGAAUUGGUUUAGGACACAGUGGUGUCUUUUUUUAAGCAAGUAUCCAUUGAGAGGGGUCAGAGGAUUAGCUCAAGCUCCAACAUAUCUAGCUGCUACCUUGCUUAACAUAGCUGCUACCUCAAUCGCUUUAUUUUUUGUGUUUUUCCCCCCUGUGGCAUUUAUUCUGUGCACAUGAACACGUUUUCAGAAUUGCUCUGUGUAACUCAGACGGUUACUCUUGUGUGUUUUGCUACUAGUUGUGCGAACGAGCCAGACAAACCAGCUGGGAGGACGGAAGUACCCCUUCUCCAUCCGCGUUCAGUAACUGAAUACGGAUUCACCCCGUAGUUGUGGUGUUUUCCAUAGCUGUUCCUUGCUCCUGUAUCACAACAUAUCAAGGCUGCCAAGUAAAUGAAGAAUGAAUCACCGCACACUGGUCAACAGCAGACAGGGUCCUUCCACAACCACAUACUUAUGCCAGUAAAAGCUACAGCUUUUCUCCUCCGAUCCAAGAAGCCUGGACUGCAGUCACCAUCUCAACACACCAACCAAGAGAAAGGCGGAUGGCUCAAUUCAAUAUGGAAAAUUGCACAAUAAAAGUUCCAGGACAUGAAGGCUGCAUACUGUGAACGUCAACCUUCAGGGCACCGUCCUGCGCAGAAGACUUUCUACCCUAAGAGGGAUGGCUGACCGCAGACACUC